rnacentral:sRNA from 1 species
ACAAUAUGGUUGGAGUCCCGACAAUUCAGUAACUUCCAACGGACAGAAUACCCCAGUUCUACAAAGGAAUGUAUUGUUGCGAAGAGGAAUUCUUCAUGCCUCUGUUGCAAACCUGCUGUUUCCUCCAUAGUCACAACCCUGGGCUUCGUCGCCUCCAGUAAUUCGCGCGUGCAAAAGAUACAUGCUUCAUUAUCUUCAUCCAUGGCAGCUGCAACUGUUUUUGCAGGUGAAAAUGUCUGGCAAGGAGGGGAAAAGUGCAAAAUAUCAACCAUUAUUUCAGUGUGGCUGCUAGCAAGGAAAUCUGCCACAUCGGAUGUAUAUCCAAUUGCAGUCUCAAAAUUCAGCCGAAAUGAGUCCAUGGCUGAUACUGAAUGAUCAAAUCCCCAAUUCAGGCGAAGGCCUGCUUGCAAUGCGCCUCUGGAAACCCCACCCGCACCACAAAAGCCAUCACCGAAUGUAUACUGCCGGAUUAUUUUUGAAGUCCCGGCUAGAAUUGUUGGAGUGUUUGUCGAA